GUAAAACCGAUCGGUUAUUCGGUUUUCUCCUUCAUUACCCAUUUUUCAUAGUUCUUCUUCUCCUACACCGGUCUGCUACUCUGUUUUUCAAACAUGCGGCCGCGUGAAACAUAAUGUAUGAGAGAGACGAUAAACAAAAACCCUAAUAUUUAAUAUGGCUGGGCUUUAAACUUGAAAUUAUAAACAAACAAUAAUCGAAAGCCCAACCCAUAUUAUCAUAACUGUUCUUUUAAAACCCACUAAAACAAACUCACAUUUAAAAUUGAUAAAAUACAGCCCAAUACUUAUAAAAUUAAACGAAGCCCAAUGUUUAUGGAAGAAAAGCUUAGUCUUCUUGCAGCCGUUUCUCUUUACAUAAAAUAAAUCCCUAGAUCUAAGCCUCUCCUCUUCCAUUUGUAGCCGAUUUUCCUUUGGCUCUCCUAGAACAAGACACGACUUUGCUUAAUGGGGAUUUGUAGUCCUCCUUCUUGGAACGUUCCUUUGCCAACUGACUAGAGUCAAAUCCUUCAACUUCGAGAACCUCCUCAAGUCUUUAAAGAUUGCACGAUCGGAGCUUCCAAUUUCAGACCGUGUCAUCACCGCCACCGUAGCGUCACCGUCGGCAGCCUUGCAUUUGGUCGAAAAUAUGUUAAUUGGCUUGUUAAUUGUUAUAUGGGCUUGUUUUCAUUUUCGGUUAACCGAAAAUAAACCGAAUAAAUCGAAGUAAAUAAAAUUUCGGGUCAA